AUACGGAGGGUGCAAGCGUUACUCGGAAUCACUGGGCGUAAAGCGCGCGCAGGCGGCUAUUUAAGUUGGAUGUGCAAGCCUACGGCUCAACCGUAGAACUGCAUCCAAAACUAUUUAGCUAGAGUGUGGGAGAGGAAGAUGGAAUUAGUUGUGUAGGGGUAAAAUCCGUAGAGAUAACUAGGAAUACCAAAAGCGAAGGCAAUCUUCUGGAACACUACUGACGCUGAGGCGCGAAAGCGUGGGGAGCAAACAGGAUUAGAAACCCUAGUAGUCC
rnacentral:rRNA from 1 species